GUGAGGAGCAGCCAGGGAGCAGGGUGGGGUGUGGAGGCUGCUUUGGGAGGGCGAGGCUUGCUGCCCUCUCAAGCGUAGCCGGUGUAGCCUCUUCUCCUCUCCGUGCGCCUUGGCACGGAGGAGCCCAGCAUCGCUGGGAUCCGCUGAGCCGCUGGCACGGCGGCUACGUGAUGCUGGCACAGUCAGCAUCCUCCUGCGCGCCGUGGCCGUCACUGGGGCUGUGAUCCCCUACCCGUGCCUGUGCCACCCUCAGCCCGUCCAGGCCGUGCCACCUCCCGGAGUGGGACCCCCGGGUCCCCGCGGGCUCCGUUUCUCCCGGCACGGUUUCCUCCUCUGGCAGCAGUGACGGGAGCGGGGGCGGAGAUGGGGGAGCCUGGGGGAGACACAAAUGUGCGACUGCAGCAUCCUCACUCCCAUGGCUGCAUCCCUCGCGCCUCCUCACGGUUGCCUUAGCAACCUCCUAUCGAUGGGGUAUUUAUAGAGGAUGGGAAGCCGGAGCGGGGGGAUCGGGAAUGGGUGGGCGUCUGCUAGGUCAGCCUCCAGCUUCAGGCUUCUCUCGGCUUGUGUGGGGGCAGGAGGGAUGCUGCUCCCCUUGGCGUCAAUGUGUGCGCUGCUCCAGCUUUUCCUGCUCGCUGGAGCCAGGGGAGGUGGCCAGGAAUUUGCAUGUGGAAAUAAAAAUAAGCAUCUGGGACGUCUGCCCUUCUCACCGGCCUUGCUCGUGCUCGGAGGCUUGUGUGCACCUCCCUGAUUGUGGCACCGGGUGCAUUGACACAGAUACAUGGAAGAAAGUAAAAGAGUGUAAAUUAAAUUUAACAGCAUUAAAUUUGUUGCCUGAUGUGUGAUGUGAGAAUAUCCUUCUUUCUGUGUCUUUGUUCUCCUGUCCAUCAGAGCGGGAGAAUGCCUCUAACAAGGAGGGUUUGUGUGGAAACUGUGGCAUGCUCUCUGUGCUGUGCUUUCUUUUAUCCUGGGGCUUUGGGUCUCUUUGUAAAAACUGAUGACAGCAGAAGUGGGUCAGGUGGUCCCUGCUCAGAGCCUGUGGGGGAAUUCAUGGAUCCAGAGGCCUCUCACAUCCCCCAGAAGGGCUCAGAGAAGCAGGACUGGGCUGUGGGGCACUGGAGGCAGCAGACCUCUCCCGUGUACUUCUGGUGCUCUGCUGCUUUCCCUCGCUCUUGCUUCAACUCCAGAAUGAGGUUUGCAAUCUGAGCUUCCCAAACUCAAACUUAGGAAGAAGCUGCUUUCUCUCUCAGGACACAGCUCCAGGCUUGCAUGCCCUCUUGCCACGUUAUGGUGUAGGAGCCUUGGAAAGCACAGCAAAGCUGGUGUUGGCAGGGAGAGGUGCUCUGUUUACUGGAAGGUGGCUGUUGUGAGGUGUGCUGGUGUGCAGCAUCAGCCCUUCUGUGUGCCUGCCUUUUAUGUGAAAGGAGAACUGUGUUUCCAGCCCUGCUGACCCUGUGAACAGCUCUGUGCUGUCCCUGACCUCACUCCAGCACAGCAGGUCCAAGUGCUUUUGGAAUAAGUGGAUAUCUAAAGCCCUGGGCCUGAGAUCAGCAUGUGUUCCUGCAGUUCCUGCUGUUUCUAACCAUGCUUGCUCCUUCAUCUGCAAUAAAUUCCUGCAGGAGCUGGGGCAGUCCUGUCCCCUCUGUCUCCUGACAGAGGUGUCACAGCAAGUGUUACACACAGCAAUAGUCAGCCCGGGGCAGUCUGAUCUGUGGGGCAUUGAGCACAGGGAGAAGAAAAAGCAUGGAAAACAAGCAGUUAUCCUCUGCUUCUGCAGGGCUUUGUUGAACUUCUGUUGUGUUUAGUUUUGUUUUGAAGCACAAAGAGUGCUUGUCUGUCUGGAGAGCUGUUGUCCUGGCUGUGCAGGCAGCUCUGUCACUCUUGCUGCUGCCCUUAGCUUGGCCCAACAACCAGAUUGUGGGUAGGAGUUGCAGAAGUGAGAACUGGCACGUCUGUGAAGUUGCUCUAAAAUAAGAUGAUUGCUUCACCUGUAUCCAUCACUCUCUUGUGGAGGGGAAGAGCACCAGGCUGCUCCCAGCAGUCUCUGACAUGCAGGUCAUUUUGUCUGCUGGUAGGCAGGAGCCCCCGUGGCCGAGUGAGGCAGCAUGGCAAGUAAGUGCUCCCCAGGCAAGACGGAGAGGUGCUGGUGGUGUUGGAGGAGAGAAGGGGGAUGUUUGACAGCCUCCUCUCAAGAAAGGGGUGCCUGUGCAUUUUGGGGGAUGUUGCUCUCUGUGGGGAGCAGCUGUCAUUGGCUUUUGGCCCUGGUGAGGUCUGAGGUCCGGCCUGACUUGUGCUUCUCUCUCCCCUCUGCAAGGUGGGAGUGGAGAGGAGGUGCUGAAGGUCUGACCUCCCCGGGAGUACCUGGGGGCUGCAGCCUUUCUGCCUCUGUGUGGUGCUUGCUGUGCAGGACGGGCCUCCCCAGGGCUCUCUGGGCUGCCUGUCUGCGCUGACAUCUCUCAUCAACAGUGCUCCUGGUGCCCGUGGCUGGCACCCUGGCAGUGCCCACCUGUGGCCACAGUGCCCUGUGUGGCUGGCUGGUGGCACUGGGCUCUGUGUUCUGUGGAAGCUGCCGAGCUCAGCUCCGCCCUGAGCUCGCUGUGGCACACCCAGAGCAGUGCUGGGCCAGCACUAAAGAUGGGCUGAGCCUGGUGAGGCUGUAGAGAGCUGUGUGGUCUGUCCAGAGCUGGGCUCAAGCCUCUCUCCUGGCUCUGCUGGGCAGCCUGCACGGAGGCUGCGUGCCCUGGUGUGAUGGGAGCUGAGGAGGACGGCAGUAGUGAAGGGGAGAUGGAGAGAUCUGUCUGGGAUCUCGGGAUUUGCUCGGAGUGUCACCAGAGCCAGCUGUGAAGGUGGAGGCAGUGGCCACGCUGGGGAGCAGGAGGACCCCAGGGAUGACAGUGGCCAGCUCAGCAUGGCAAAGCAGGGAGCGGGUCCAGUGACUGCUUUCUGCAGGGAUGGAAAACCCUGACAGUGACAACUGCAGCCAAGCUUGUUGCUCUAAGAUGUGCUGAGGAAGUUGAAAUCCGAGUCUCAGGCUCAAGUGCCAAGGAGGGGAGAGUUUAUACCACAGCCUGAUCAAGGCUCAAGACAAGGUCAGCCUGCCAGCCUGUUCCCUCUCCAGCCAGGAUAGCCCUCCUCAACUGUGAAAGCCAAGGCAAGCUGAUCCCUGCCCUUCUGCAAGAUGCCUUCUGUGCCUCUUGAAAAUGCUUUUUCGGUUGUCCUUGUAAAAAAAAAAAAUGGUUUGCAUAAUAAAGUCGAUUCUGAGGGAA